UACAAUACUAUUAACUUUUUUAAACAUGCCUUGCUUCAAAAUUCUGUAUGGAUGCAAUGGUAUGUAAAUAAUCUUAUGUUAAGGGGUGAUCAUUGAAUUUUGAAGAAGCCGAUCAACCACUUAAUAAUGAUCAAUAAAUCCCCCUCCAAAAUUAUGUGAGAAGCUUUAAGAAAGAGAAAAAAUAACAGUUCUUUAGAAAGUAGAAAAAAUUAAUGAUUGGAUCAGAUCCACCA
rnacentral:lncRNA from 1 species